rnacentral:rRNA from 1 species
GACGAACGCUGGCGGCGUGCUUAACACAUGCAAGUCGAACGGUAAGGCCCUUCGGGGUACACGAGUGGUGAACGGGUGAGUAACACGUGGGUGAUCUACCCUGCACUUCGGGAUAAGCAUGGGAAACUGGGUGUAAUACCGGAGAGGACCACUGCCGGCCUGGGUGGUGGGGGAAAGCGUUUGCGGUGUGGGAUGGGGCCGCGGCCUAUCAGCUUGUUGGUGGGGUGAUGGCCUACCAAGGCGACGACGGGUAGCCGGCCUGAGAGGGGGACCGGCCACACUGGGACUGAGAUACGGCCCAGACUCCUACGGGAGGCAGCAGUGGGGAAUAUUGCACAAUGGGCGCAAGCCUGAUGCAGCGACGCCGCGUGAGGGAUGACGGCCUUCGGGUUGUAAACCUCUUUCAGCACCGACGAAGCGCAAGUGACGGUAGGUGCAGAAGAAGGACCGGCCAACUACGUGCCAGCAGCCGCGGUAA